AUUUGGUGAUGUGGAUAACUUGCACAUAGUUUUUUAAAACGCUCCCAAUAUUCAUAUAAAGACUUUCUACCAUGCUGCCUAAUACCACAGAUUUCUUUUCUUAUACU